UCUGAGACAGGUGCUGCAUGGCUGUCGUCAGCUCGUGUUGUGAAAUGUUGGGUUAAGUCCCGCAACGAGCGCAACCCUUAUCCUUUGUUGCCAGCGGUUCGGCCGGGAACUCAAAGGAGACUGCCAGUGAUAAACUGGAGGAAGGUGGGGAUGACGUCAAGUCACCAUGGCCCUUACGAGUAGGGCUACACACGUGCUACAAUGGCAUAUACAAAGAGAAGCGACCUCGCGAGAGCAAGCGGACCUCAUAAAGUAUGUCGUAGUCCGGAUUGGAGUCUGCAACUCGACUCCAUGAAGUCGGAAUCGCUAGUAAUCGUAGAUCAGAAUGUUACGGUGAAUACGUU
rnacentral:rRNA from 1 species